rnacentral:rRNA from 1 species
UACGUAGGGGGCAAGCGUUAUCCGGAUUUACUGGGUGUAAAGGGAGCGUAGACGGAGAAGCAAGUUAGUUGUGAAAUCCCUCGGCUUAACUGAGGAACUGCAACUAAAACUACUUCCCUUGAGUACUGGAGAGGAAAGUGGAAUUCCUAGUGUAGCGGUGAAAUGCGUAGAUAUUAGGAGGAACACCAGUGGCGAAGGCGACUUUCUGGACAGUAACUGACGUUGAGGCACGAAAGUGUGGGGAGCAAACAGG